GGCCUAAUGGCGAAAUUAAUAUCGCGUCUGCAGUUCGUAGAACGCCACUAACCAAGUUGAGCGGGAGUCCCUGGUUCGACUCCAGGUUAGGUCA